GACAGAGGGUGCAAACGUUGUUCGGAAUUACUGGGCGUAAAGCGCGUGUAGGCUGUUCGGCAAGUCGGAUGUGAAAGCCCUGGGCUUAACCCAGGAAGUGCAUUCGAAACUGCCGAACUGGAGUCCCGGAGAGGAAGGCGGAAUUCUCGGUGUAGAGGUGAAAUUCGUAGAUAUCGGGAGGAACAUCGGUGGCGAAGGCGGCCGUCUGGACGGUGACUGACGCUGAGACGCGAAAGCGUGGGGAGCAAACAGG
rnacentral:rRNA from 1 species